rnacentral:rRNA from 1 species
ACCCGCUGAACUUAAGCAUAUCAAUAAGCGGAGGAAAAGAAACCAACAGGGAUUGCCCCAGUAACGGCGAGUGAAGCGGCAACAGCUCAAAUUUGAAAUCUGGCCCUCGCGGGUCCGAGUUGUAAUUUGUAGAGGAUGUUUCGGGCACCGCCCCGGUUUAAAUUUCUUGGAACAGAAUGUCAGAGAGGGUGAGAACCCCGUCUUGGACCGGCGGUAGGGCCCGUGUGAAACUCCUUCGACGAGUCGAGUUGUUUGGGAAUGCAGCUCAAAAUGGGUGGUAAAUUUCAUCUAAAGCUAAAUACCGGCCAGAGACCGAUAGCGCACAAGUAGAGUGAUCGAAAGAUGAAAAGCACUUUGAAAAGAGAGUUAAACAGUAUGUGAAAUUGUUGAAAGGGAAGCGCUGGCGACCAGACUUGAGCCUGACGGUUCCCCCUUCGUUCGCGUUGGGUCACUCCGUCUUGUCCAGGCCAACAUCGGUUCGGGUGGCCGGUCAAAGGCCCCGGGAAUGUAUCAACCCCUCGGGGAUGACUUAUAGCCCGGGGCGUCAUGCGGCCUACCCGGACCGAGGAACGCGCUUCGGCGAGGAUGUUGGCGUAAUGGUUGUCAGCGGCCCGUCUUGAAACACGG